rnacentral:sRNA from 1 species
GAAGAGAGAGAAGAGAGAGAAAUUGAUCUUU